CAGACAACGGUCUAAAACGGUCUACACCAUGGGAGGCUAUCCUUUUCUUGUUUUUCUCAUUGCAAGUUGCAUGGUUUUAACAACUGAUGCUCGACUUCCGCCUAAUUUACAUUGCCCAAGAGGCACAGUGUUGGUAGGAACAUGUUUUCCUCCCAGGUAUUGGUGUAAUGUUGGAUUCUGUGUCAGAGGUCCCUUUAAUUCCUUCGGGAUAUGCUGUAAAAAACGUGGCUUUUACUGAAAACGGAGCUUCAAAGACCGAGGUUCAUAUGUCUUUGAAAGAAUAAAAAUCUUGUAUAAAAGGUA